rnacentral:rRNA from 1 species
GACGAACGCUGGCGGCGUGCCUAAUACAUGCAAGUCGAGCGAAGUUUUUCUGGUGCUUGCACUAGAAACACUUAGCGGCGAACGGGUGAGUAACACGUAAAGAACCUGCCUCAUAGACUGGGACAACUAUUGGAAACGAUAGCUAAUACCGGAUAACAGUAUUUCUCGCAUGAGAGAUAUUUAAAAGUUUGUUAUGCUAACACUAUGAGAUGGCUUUGCGGUGCAUUAGCUAGUUGGUGGGGUAAAGGCCCACCAAGGCGACGAUGCAUAGCCGACCUGAGAGGGUGAUCGGCCACACUGGGACUGAGACACGGCCCAGACUCCUACGGGAGGCAGCAGUAGGGAAUCUUCCGCAAUGGGCGAAAGCCUGACGGAGCAACGCCGCGUGAGUGAAGAAGGAUUUCGGUUCGUAAAGCUCUGUUGUUAGGGAAGAAUGGAUAUGUAGUAACUAUACAUGUAAGAGACGGUACCUAACCAGAAAGCCACGGCUAACUACGUG